rnacentral:rRNA from 1 species
GAUCAUUUAGUUGGGCACUCUAAUGAGACUGCCGGUGACAAACCGGAGGAAGGUGGGGAUGACGUCAAGUCCUCAUGGCCCUUAUAGGUAGGGCUACACACGUCAUACAAUGGCUGGUACAAAGGGUUGCCAACCCGCGAGGGGGAGCUAAUCCCAUAAAGCCAGUCGUAGUCCGGAUCGCAGUCUGCAACUCGACUGCGUGAAGUCGGAAUCGCUAGUAAUCGUGGAUCAGAAUGUCACGGUGAAUACGUUCCCGGGUCUU